UUGAACAAAUGAGCUGGUGCCAGAGGCUGGGCUGGUAUAAAUGUGCCUCCCCUCUAACCAGCUUCCUUGCAACCCACCAUGCUUAAGGAUGGGGAAACACCAGCAUGCUUGAAAUGAGGCAGGUGUCACAGAGCACUGGGGUGCCCUGUGCCUGAGGAAAGAAACUGCUAGAGAGGGAGCACAGCUGUGGGUUGCUGGGGCAACUAAUGAGUCGGCUGACCAGAAAGGGCAGGGCCUGGCCCUUAUAAAGUCAAGAACCAGAGGCCUGAGGCAGUUCCCUUCCAGCAGCCAGAGAGGCAGGAGCUCUGCGAGCAAUGAUGUGAGGAGAAGCCUGACUGGAGGGAGCCUGUGCUUUUUUGCAGAGCCCACCCUAAAUCAUGGUUACCAUGAAAAUCACAAAAUCUCAAUUUGGGUAGAUCCUUACUGAUACCAUCCAAUGGUCAAGGGACACCUAUGUCAAGCACAUUAUGGUCCAUCACCAGUAUGAUGACAGCCAGUCAAGACCACCCACCAGAAAUGAGAGUGAGAAGACAGACUGAACCUCUCUGCCCCCAGGCACAUAAUAGACUUACAAAGACUGUUAAUGCCCUUGAAUAUUUCCAACCCCAACUGAACACCACAUACUAAAACCACUAUUUAAGAAUGUCUUACACCCCUACAACUCUACAUUAAUAUUAUUAAUAUGCAUGGAGUCUUGUCUUUUCUUCCCAUGGCAUCACACUGAAACUUCCUAGCCACUCUACCCUGGGCUAUCGUAGGCUGAAUGACUAACUGCAUUUCUUAGACUUCAUUAAUAUACAUCAACUAUGUACCCAUGUAGCUACUAUGUGACUUGUAACUCUAAAAAAAUAUGGUUAUUACAUGGCUUUGUAAACUUUU